UACGGAGGGUGCGAGCGUUGUCCGGAAUCACUGGGCGUAAAGGGCGCGUAGGCGGCUCAGUAAGGUUGCGGUGAAAGCCCGGGGCUCAACCCCGGGUCGGCCGUGGCAACUGCUGGGCUAGAGCACUGUAGAGGCAGGUGGAAUUCCGGGUGUAGCGGUGGAAUGCGUAGAGAUCCGGAAGAACACCAGUGGCGAAGGCGGCUCACUGGCCCGAUACUGACGCUGAGGCACGAAAGCGUGGGGAGCAAACAGG
rnacentral:rRNA from 1 species